rnacentral:rRNA from 1 species
CAAUAGCGUAUAUUAAAGUUGUUGCAGUUAAAAAGCUCGUAGUUGGACCUUGGACCUGGACAGGCGGUCCGCCUCACGGCGAGUACUGUCUUGCUGGGUCUUUCCUCUUGGUGAUCUGUUGUUUCGGCAGCAGGGAACCAGGACCUUUACUUUGAAAAAAUUAGAGUGUUCAAAGCAGGCUCGACGCCGGAAUAUAUUAGCAUGGAAUAACAAAAUAGGACGUGCGGUUCUAUUUUGUUGGUUUUUGGAAUCGCCGUAAUGAUUAAUAGGGACAGUCGGGGGCAUUAGUACUCACAUGCUAGAGGUGAAAUUCUUGGAUUUUGUGAAGACUAACUUCUGCGAAAGCAUUUGCCAAGGAUGUUUUCAUUAA